rnacentral:lncRNA from 1 species
CACUAUGAACCAAUACGGUACUAUUACAUCAUUAAAGAACCCCAGGUCCUUAUUCACAUGUCAGGGAUCAAGGACCUUUAAGUCCAAUCACAUGUUUACAAGUAUAGUACCGGAGAGACUGCCAGCUCUCAUAUUAAUAUCAUCAUCAAGGAUCUUCAAGUCCUGAUGUAAUUGUAUGAUGAGGAUCAAGGAACUUCUGGUCCUAAUCUGCACACUGUAAAAACUCAUCAUACAGCACAAUUAAUCCAUAAAAUAAAUUGUUGAUAAAUAAAUUACUGGUAUGGACGAUAAACCCGCACCAUACUUUAAAUAAAUUAAAUAGCUUGCUGUAUGGACGUUAAUCCCGCAUCAUAUCUUAAAUAAAAUUAAAUGUGCGGUAAAGUAAACGUGCUUAUAUGGGCACUAAUUCUGCUCCAUACAUUUAAAUAAAAGCAAAGGCGUGGGCGAUAAACCCGCACCACCCUUUUAAAUAAAUAUUGUUGUAUGGGUAAUAAACCUACACCAUACAGUAAAUAAAAAAAUGUGAGAAUAAAAACCACCACUGAACAAGAUAAGGAAAGUGUUAGUAACGGUCUCCCACUGAUAAUAUGUUUAGUAUUACCAAGGGUCCAUUUUUGUUAAUGGUUAGUAAUAGAAAAGCAGAUAAAUAUAGUAUAUUAUAUUACCAUCAACUUUUCAUAUAUAUAUAAUAUAUAUAUAUAUAUUAUACUGAUAUAUUAGUGGAAAGCUAGAUGCGUUGGCUUUUCUUCUUUACAUCAACAUAAUGGUUAGUAUUAUAAAUAAUAGUGCAGCACAAAAAUUAUACCUGAGAGCUUCUCGUGCUGAUAACGUGUUAUAAAAUAACCUGGGAUAUGUG